UGCCACAGCCAUAUCACCCUGCAGCCCAAGACCGGUUAUUCAUUGAAAGCUUAGCAGGGCUGAGCCUGGUCAGUACCUGGAUGGGAGACCACAUGGGAAAACUAGGUUGCUGCUAGAA
ensembl:rRNA 5S_rRNA 5S ribosomal RNA